GAGGCGACUAGCAGAUCAGCAUGCAAGGAUGAUAGGUUUUGUUGUGAAACAGUCGCGGUUUCCACGGUACAUGGGGCGGAUGAGAGAAGGUUGGAGGGAAGGCGGAGGAGCUCCAUGACGGGUGAAAUCAGAGUUGGCUUUGCCAAGGGACAUCAUGGGAGACGGUAUGUAGUGGUGGAGACGCAGCGGAGACAGAGAGACAAGCAGAUAUGGCACUUUCACUCUCUCUGAACAGAGGAGAGGCGACGUCGAGAGGAGUGACGGGAGAGACGACAACAAUGGCGACGAC
rnacentral:lncRNA from 1 species